rnacentral:rRNA from 1 species
CACAUGCAAGUCGAGCGCCCCGCAAGGGGAGCGGCGGACGGGUGAGUAACGCGUGGGAACGUACCCUUUGCUACGGAAUAGCCUCGGGAAACUGGGAGUAAUACCGUAUGUGCCCUUCGGGGGAAAGAUUUAUCGGCAAAGGAUCGGCCCGCGUUGGAUUAGGUAGUUGGUGGGGUAAUGGCCUACCAAGCCGACGAUCCAUAGCUGGUUUGAGAGGAUGAUCAGCCACACUGGGACUGAGACACGGCCCAGACUCCUACGGGAGGCAGCAGUGGGGAAUCUUAGACAAUGGGCGCAAGCCUGAUCUAGCCAUGCCGCGUGAGCGAUGAAGGCCUUAGGGUUGUAAAGCU